rnacentral:other from 1 species
CUUACCCUGCUUGGUGCGUGAGCGGAUUUUGUUAUUAACCCACAAUUAAUAACAAAAGGGAAGCGUAUUCAAUGGUGGUUUGCAGGCCUCCCGAUGCAUUCUGCGUUGGAUGUUGGAAGCAGUGAUACCGGAGAGAGCAUCCCGCCCUACAAUAGUAGGUUAUUAAUUCUGUUCGCCACGGCCAAAGUGGGGGAUGU